UACGUAUGGCGCGAGCGUUAUCCGGAUUCACUGGGUGUAAAGGGAGCGCAGGCGGCCUGCCAAGUCCGGUGUGAAAGCCCGGGGCUCAACCCCGGGACUGCAUUGGAAACUGGCGGGCUGGAGUUCCGGAGAGGCAGGCGGAAUUCCUGGUGUAGCGGUGAAAUGCGUAGAUAUCAGGAGGAACACCGGUGGCGAAGGCGGCCUGCUGGACGGACACUGACGCUGAGGCUCGAAAGCGUGGGGAGCGA
rnacentral:rRNA from 1 species